ACGUAGGGACCAAGCGUUGUUCGGAUUUACUGGGCGUAAAGUGUGCGCAGGCGGCAGAGCAAGUCGAGUGUGAAAGCCCCGGGCUUAACUUGGGAAUUGCGCUCGAAACUACUUUGCUGGAGUGUGGCAGAGGAAGGUGGAAUUCCACGUGUAGCGGUGAAAUGCGUAGAGAUGUGGAGGAACACCAAUGGCGAAGGCAGCCCCCUGGGUCAAAACUGACGCUCAUGCACGAAAGCGUGGGGAGCAAACAGGA
rnacentral:rRNA from 1 species